rnacentral:rRNA from 1 species
AGUCGAACGGAGGCCCUAGCUUGCUAGGUGUCCUUAGUGGCGCACGGGUGAGUAACACGUGGGAACAUACCUUAUAGUACGGAAUAACUGCGGGAAACUGUAGCUAAUACCGUAUACUCCAGUAAUGGGAAAGAUUUAUCGCUAUAAGAUUGGCCCGCGCAAGAUUAGCUUGUUGGUGAGGUAAAAGCUCACCAAGGCUUCGAUCUUUAGCUGGUUUGAGAGGACGAUCAGCCACACUGGGACUGAGACACGGCCCAGACUCCUACGGGAGGCAGCAGUAGGGAAUAUUGGACAAUGGGGGCAACCCUGAUCCAGCAAUGCAGCGUGAGUGACGAAGGCCUUAGGGUUGUAAAACUCUUUCAUCGGUGAGGAUAAUGACAGUAGCCGAAGAAGAAGGACCGGCUAAUUCCG